rnacentral:misc_RNA from 1 species
GCUGCAACAAAUUUUUUUCCCUUGCCACAGUGCCACUCGCCCGCCUAUCCAAAAAGCUCGGUCUCCUUCCCUACUCCGUUCACUCCCCAAAUCCCAGACUCUCACCGCUUCCCUCGUCUCCUCAGUCCUCCCCCGCCAUGGUCACGGACAAGUCCAACCUCCCACAGCAGCAGCAGCCGCCUCCUCCCUCCGCCUCCUCAGCACCCUCCUCGCUCAAGUCCCUCAACAAGGCCUCCUACAAGAUCUCCAAGCAGUCGUCUUCCGCCUCUCCCGCUCCCGUUCCCGCCUCCACCAUGCGAGCGCCUUCCCCGCCGCCGCCGGCUCCCCGCCCGCCUCCUCCUCUCCCGCCGCCGCCGCCGCCGCCGCCGCAGGCCUCCUCCAUCCCUGCCGACCACCCGCCUCCCCAGCCCCCCGUGUACAACAUCGACAAGUCCGACUUCCGCGACGUCGUGCAGAAGCUCACAGGCUCGCCGUCCCACCUCCUGCCGCCGCAGCCAGCGCCCACUCCCGCCACCGCCCGCGCCCGCGCCCCCCUCAUGGCGCCACCGCCUCCCAUCAUGGCGCCGCCGCCUCCGCCGCCGACGGCGAUACCCUCCCGCCUCCACCGCAUCCGGCCGCCGCCGCUGGCCCCGCCGCCCAUCCUGCCCCCGGCCCCGCCGGCGCUCUCCCCGCUCCCGCCGCUCCCGGCGGUGUGCAUGACCGCGGAGUCGCCCAUCUCCGCCUACAUGCGCCGCCUCCGCGGGAUGCCCUCGCCGAUCCGCGCGCCCACGUCGCCGCUCGGCUUCGGCUGCCUGCCGUCGCCCGGCGUGCCCAUGCCAGCUACCAGCCCCCGCGUCCGCGACCCGUGACGUGCGUGAUGCAGGAACCCCCACCACCACCGUUGCGCCGCCGCCGAUGUGUACAUACGGCCGGCUGGUGUAGGAGAGAUCUGGCGAGGCGGCGGGCGGCGACCGCAGAAGGAAGCAGGCAGCAACACCUUCACAUUCUCUGUCGACGUUGGAGCAAUGGCGUUUCUCUGGUCAAUUGGGUGGUAGUAGUGCCGACGUGAGGUGCUCCACUAAAGAGAAUUUUAUUACUGUGAACCAAGUUGGUCGAAAAAGCAGGAGCUGGGAAGCGUAGGUGUCCAUUUCUGCCAAAGAUCGGUGGCAUGAUAGGGGUAACAGUUGCUGCGAAGUCCAAUUCGGAAAGCGAUGCGCUGAGAAGACGCCGGUGCCUGUUCUCUUCCUGCGAGCUGCGCUUUCUAGGGUCGAAACAUUGGUUUCCUGGUGUAAUUUUAUCGUCUGAAUGUACUGUAGUGUAGUAGUAGCAUUUCACUCUCAACAUGUUUUUUUUCCUUCUUCCAGCUGCUCUUGUUGUUCGUGCCAACA